CAACAUUUCCACCCAGCAGCCCAAAUGCCGGUGGAACUGUCUAAAGCCCAAGACAUAGAAGCAGGGGAAGGCACCACAUCAGUUGUCAUCACUGCUGGCUCUCUUUUAGACUCUUGUACCAAACUUGUGCAGAAAGGUAGACAUCCAACCAUCAUUUCCGAGUCAUUCCAGAAAGCUUCAGAAAAGGAUCUUGAAAUCCUUCCUGAUAUGUCUCAACCUGUGCCACUGAGUGAUAGAGACACUUUGUUAAAUAGCGCAUCCACUUCACUGAAGUCAAAGGUUGUCUCUCAGUAUUCAAGUCUACUCUCUCCGGUGUCAAUGCGGUGAUGAAAGUGAUCAACUCAGCCACAGCUACCAGGGUAGAUCUUAGAGAUAUUAAAAUAGUCAAGAAGCUCAGAGGGACAACAGAUAACUGUGGCUGGCAGGAGGCCUCAUUCUCAUGCAGAAAGUGGCAAAUUCUGGUACAACAGGAGUUGAAAAGGCUAAGAUUGGGCAUGUUCCAUUUUGCUCAUCUGCUCCUAAAACAGAUAUGGAUAAUCAAAUAGUAGUAUCUGACUAUGCCCAGAUGGAUCAAGUGCUUCGAGAGGAGAGAGCCUAUAUUUUAAAUUUGGUGAAGCACGUUAAGAAAACAGGAUGUGAUGUCCUUCUCAUACAGAGGUCUAUCCUAAGAGAUGCCCUUAGUGAUCUUGCACUACAUUUUCUGAGUAAGAUGAAGAUUAUGGUGGUUAAGGACAUUGAAAGAGAAGACAUUGAACUCAUGUAAGACAAUUGGAGCCAAGCCGGUUGCUCACGUUGACCAGUUCACUGCUGACAUGGUGGGUUCUCCUGAGUUAGCAGAGGAAGUCAGUUUAAAUGGUUCUGGAAAACUAUUCAAGAUCUACAGGUUGUACAAGCCCAGGCAAAACAGUUACAAUUGUCAUACGUGGUGACUGAAGAAGCUAGCGCUCCAUUCCUGAUGCCCUCUGUAUUAUCCGAUGCUUAGUAAAGAAGGGAGGAGCUCUUAUUGCAGGAGGUGGUGUUUCAGAAACAGAGCUGGCCUCAGACUGACUGAGUGCUCUCCAACACUGAGUUACCGGUGAGGAAGCCAUUCGGUCUACACCGACUGGCCUGAAUCCCAUUUCUACAGUAACAGAACUAAGAAACCGCCAUGCCCAAGGAGAAAAUGCCAGAUGCAGUAAUGUCCAAAAGGCUGUUCUUAUCAACAUUUUGGAGGAAAUGGUUAUUCAGCCUCUGCUGGUGUCAGUCAGUGCUUUGACCCUAGCAACUGAAAUUGCGGAGCAUCCUGAAAAUUGAUGGUGUGGUAAAUAGUUGA
rnacentral:lncRNA from 1 species